UCUUUGUAUUAUUGUUCAUGUCAUUUGGCCAUCUAGAUCCGGCUCUGCACAAGCCCACCUGGCAUGGCGAUUCAUGGUGUGUUUCAUUGCUCUACUACUGCUAUCCUGCGGGUAAUUUCUGUCCUGUGUUUGCUUGCAGUUCUUGUCCCAGAUGCAGGUGGGCGGCAUCAUCGGCAUGGCUGCCCUCCGUUCACCUGUGGUAAUCUUAGCAGCGUGUCGUCUCCUUUCCGCCGGCGAGGUGACCCAUCUGAGUGCGGAGUUCUGUCGUACGAGCUCAAUUGUGCCGAUGACAAGGCUACAAUUCAGAUUGACAACGGAACAUACUAUGUGACGGGCAUCAACUACACUGAUUCUACCUUCUUGAUCGUUGAUGCUGACAUCUCGGAUUCACCUAGCAGUUGCCCUCUUCCUCGAUGGAAUUCCCUUCGAGAGCCCAGGUUCCAGGUUCUAUGGACUAGGAUAGCUAGCUUUGUCAAUUGUUCGCAGGAAAUAAAGAAUAGUAGCUGGAUUAUGUACAUGCCUGUCGCUUGCCUGAGCACCAGCAGAUCCUUCGUUUAUGUGUUAACUGGCCAAAAAUCUGCUCUUAUUCAGAGCCUUGAGCCUUCUUGUGGGUACCUAGCCAUGACUCCUUUGGGUGGUCGGGACAGUGUAGCACCAGUAAAUGAAAGCUUAAGCUUAAGCUAUGCAGACGUAGUAAAAUCUAUGAGGAAAGGAUUCAGAGUCCAAUUUCCUUUCAGAUAUCGUACUGGAAGCUUUAAGCAAUGCCCAAUGGAUUCGAUUCCCGCAUCGACUAGUACAGGCAAAACCAAUUGGUUUGGUACCAUUCUUUCGGCGGAUACAAAUUUCCUGCUCUGCAUACCCGUUCAUCAAAUUCCAUCACGUUACCGUAUGCCUUUGGGUAUAAUGUUAUAUGUAAUAGCAUAUGCCUUGCAGAUCUGGAAGAUGAUUGCAGCAACAUGCAGGUUUCUGUUGACGCCCUUGGCUGUAUUGGUUUUCCUUGCACACAAGUACUGGAAAACAAGGGUUACAAUUGAUGCAGUUGAGAAGUUUCUCCGAAUGCAACAAAUGCUCGGACCGACAAGGUAUGCCUACACUGAUAUCACUGCAAUCACAGGCCAUUUCAGAGAGAAGCUUGGCCAAGGAGGUUAUGGCUCUGUAUACAAGGGUGUGCUGCUCCCGGGUGAUCUCCAUGUGGCUGUCAAGAUGCUGAAUGGCAACUCCAACUGUAAUGGAGAAGAAUUCAUCAGUGAAGUUGCCACCAUAGGCAUGAUUCACCAUGUUAAUGUCGUGCGUCUUGUGGGGUUUUGCUCCGAGGAAAUGAGAAGGGCCCUAGUUUAUGAACACAUGCCUAGAGGAUCUCUAGACAAGUAUAUUUACUUGUCUGAGAGAAGUUUCUCAUGGGACAAGAUCAAUGAGAUUGCUCUAGGCAUUGCUAGGGGGAUCAACUACUUGCACCAAGGGUGUGAUAUGUAGAUUCUACACUUUGAUAUCAAGCCACACAACAUCCUUCUUGAUGAUAACUUUGUUCCGAAAGUUGCUGAUUUCGGCCUCGCUAAACUGUACCCGAGGGACAAGAGUUUUGUGCCGGACAGGGCUUUACGGGGAACAGUGGGUUAUAUGGCUCCUGAGAUGGUAUCCCGGAGUUUUGGUGUCAUAUCCAGCAAAUCAGAUGUUUAUAGCUUUGGAAUGCUACUACUUGAGAUGGCUGGAGGAAGAAGAAACGUGGACCCAAAUGCAGAUUCAAGUAAAAGUAAGGCGUACUACCCAUCAUGGGUUUAUGACCAGCUAAUAGCAGAUCAACAAUUUGAUGAGAUAUCAAAUGUUGCUAACAUGCAUGAGCUGGAGAGGAAGCUAUGCCUUGUUGGGCUGUGGUGCAUUCAGAUGAAAUCACACGAUCGACCGACGAUGAGUGAGGCAAUAGAGAUGCUCGAAGGGGGUGUGGAUGCGCUGCAAGUGCCCCCGAGACCAUUUUUCUGCGAUGGGGAUGGCAUUGGCAAUGGCAUGCCACCUCCACAAGUCAUGGAUUCUUACUUUCACUCCUCCAAGCUUACUGCAAUUUCAGAAGAGGGCGAUGGAAUAGCUAAAUUAGCCAGUAGCUAGGUGUUAACAGUGAAAUUUGGCAAGAUAGACUCAGAUUUGGAGUUGGAUAUCGAGGCAAAAUUGAAGAUUGGAUCUUGCCAGAAACGGACU